AUUGCAAAGUUCCUAGAUUCGAAAGAAGGCCUUCGGAUUGUAAACUGCUUUUGUACGGAACGAAACGGCGAGCUCUAAUACAGUUUGCUAAUGACGGUACCGUAAGAAUAAGCACCGGCUAACUACGUGCCAGCAGCCGCGGUAAUACGUAGGGUGCAAGCGUUAAUCGGAAUUACUGGGCGUAAAGCGUGCGCAGGCGGUUUUGUAAGACAGUCGUGAAAUCCCCGGGCUCAACCUGGGAAUUGCGAUUGUGACUGCAAAGCUGGAGUGCGGCAGAGGGGGAUGGAAUUCCGCGUGUAGCAGUGAAAUGCGUAGAUAUGCGGAGGAACACCGAUGGCGAAGGCAAUCCCCUGGGCCUGCACUGACGCUCAUGCACGAAAGCGUGGGGAGCAAACAGGAUUAGAUACCCUGGUAGUCCACGCCCUAAACGAUGUCAACUGGUUGUUGGGUCUCUUCUGACUCAGUAACGAAGCUAACGCGUGAAGUUGACCGCCUGGGGAGUACGGCCGCAAGGUUGAAACUCAAA
rnacentral:rRNA from 1 species